rnacentral:piRNA from 1 species
UGGGAUGGAGACAUCGGACGAGCUCGGAGA